CAUUUGGUCGCCCAGCUCCAAUCACUUCAUGACAAAUGUAUUGUUUUAUUUUUCAAGUUUUAAGCUCAGCGCGUUUAUUUUCAGAUUCAAGUACGAGUUUUUUUUUUUUUUCAAGUUCAAAACUUUUGACCCCAAAAGCUUUUCCAUAUUUAAUCGAUUGGAUAUUUAUGCAGGUGUACAUCACUUUCAUUUGUAUCGUUUUUAUUAACUAAAUAUUCCAACAGUUCUUAUAAUAGCAUUGUGUUCCCGCCUAACUAUGAGAAAACGAGUGUUCUAUGAGAAAGAAUGUUCCGCUCAAAAAAUGUUGACGCAGCAGACGUGAGGAAUAUUCAACAAAAAAAGCGUCAGUUCAAAAUCAAGAGCGUCAAU